rnacentral:rRNA from 1 species
ACCUGAAACCGUGUACGUACAAGCAGUGGGAGCCUCUUAAUGGGGUGACUGCGUACCUUUUGUAUAAUGGGUCAGCGACUUAUAUUCUGUAGCAAGGUUAACCGAAUAGGGGAGCCGAAGGGAAACCGAGUCUUAACUGGGCGUUAAGUUGCAGGGUAUAGACCCGAAACCCGGUGAUCUAGCCAUGGGCAGGUUGAAGGUUGGGUAACACUAACUGGAGGACCGAACCGACUAAUGUUGAAAAAUUAGCGGAUGACUUGUGGCUGGGGGUGAAAGGCCAAUCAAACCGGGAGAUAGCUGGUUCUCCCCGAAAGCUAUUUAGGUAGCGCCUCGUGAAUUCAUCUCCGGGGGUAGAGCACUGUUUCGGCAAGGGGGUCAUCCCGACUUACCAACCCGAUGCAAACUGCGAAUACCGGAGAAUGUUAUCACGGGAGACACACGGCGGGUGCUAACGUCCGUCGUGAAGAGGGAAACAACCCAGACCGCCAGCUAAGGUCCCAAAGUCAUGGUUAAGUGGGAAACGAUGUGGGAAGGCCCAGACAGCCAGGAUGUUGGCUUAGAAGCAGCCAUCAUUUAAAGAAAGCGUAAUAGCUCACUGGUCGAGUCGGCCUGCGCGGAAGAUGUAACGGGGCUAAACCAUGCACCGAAGCUGCGGCAGCGACACUAUGUGUUGUUGGGUAGGGGAGCGUUCUGUAAGCCUGUGAAGGUGGCCUGUGAGGGUUGCUGGAGGUAUCAGAAGUGCGAAUGCUGACAUAAGUAACGAUAAAGCGGGUGAAAAGCCCGCUCGCCGGAAGACCAAGGGUUCCUGUCCAACGUUAAUCGGGGCAGGGUGAGUCGACCCCUAAGGCGAGGCCGAAAGGCGUAGUCGAUGGGAAACAGGUUAAUAUUCCUGUACUUGGUGUUACUGCGAAGGGGGGACGGAGAAGGCUAUGUUGGCCGGGCGACGGUUGUCCCGGUUUAAGCGUGUAGGCUGGUUUUCCAGGCAAAUCCGGAAAAUCAAGGCUGAGGCGUGAUGACGAGGCACUACGGUGCUGAAGCGACAAAUGCCCUGCUUCCAGGAAAAGCCUCUAAGCAUCAGGUAACAUCAAAUCGUACCCCAAACCGACACAGGUGGUCAGGUAGAGAAUACCAAGGCGCUUGAGAGAACUCGGGUGAAGGAACUAGGCAAAAUGGUGCCGUAACUUCGGGAGAAGGCACGCUGAUAUGUAGGUGAAGCGACUUGCUCGUGGAGCUGAAAUCAGUCGAAGAUACCAGCUGGCUGCAACUGUUUAUUAAAAACACAGCACUGUGCAAACACGAAAGUGGACGUAUACGGUGUGACGCCUGCCCGGUGCCGGAAGGUUAAUUGAUGGGGUUAGCGGUAACGCGAAGCUCUUGAUCGAAGCCCCGGUAAACGGCGGCCGUAACUAUAACGGUCCUAAGGUAGCGAAAUUCCUUGUCGGGUAAGUUCCGACCUGCACGAAUGGCGUAAUGAUGGCCAGGCUGUCUCCACCCGAGACUCAGUGAAAUUGAACUCGCUGUGAAGAUGCAGUGUACCCGCGGCAAGACGGAAAGACCCCGUGAACCUUUACUAUAGCUUGACACUGAACAUUGAGCCUUGAUGUGUAGGAUAGGUGGGAGGCUUUGAAGUGUGGACGCCAGUCUGCAUGGAGCCGACCUUGAAAUACCACCCUUUAAUGUUUGAUGUUCUAACGUGGGCCCCUUACCGGGGUUGCGGACAGUGUCUGGUGGGUAGUUUGACUGGGGCGGUCUCCUCCUAAAGAGUAACGGAGGAGCACGAAGGUUGGCUAAUCCUGGUCGGACAUCAGGAGGUUAGUGCAAUGGCAUAAGCCAGCUUGACUGCGAGCGUGACGGCGCGAGCAGGUGCGAAAGCAGGUCAUAGUGAUCCGGUGGUUCUGAAUGGAAGGGCCAUCGCUCAACGGAUAAAAGGUACUCCGGGGAUAACAGGCUGAUACCGCCCAAGAGUUCAUAUCGACGGCGGUGUUUGGCACCUCGAUGUCGGCUCAUCACAUCCUGGGGCUGAAGUAGGUCCCAAGGGUAUGGCUGUUCGCCAUUUAAAGUGGUACGCGAGCUGGGUUUAGAACGUCGUGAGACAGUUCGGUCCCUAUCUGCCGUGGGCGCUGGAGAACUGAGGGGGGCUGCUCCUAGUACGAGAGGACCGGAGUGGACGCAUCACUGGUGUUCGGGUUGUCAUGCCAAUGGCACUGCCCGGUAGCUAAAUGCGGAAGAGAUAAGUGCUGAAAGCAUCUAAGCACGAAACUUGCCCCGAGAUGAGUUCUCCCUGACUCCUUGAGAGUCCUGAAGGAACGUUGAAGACGACGACGUUGAUAGGCCGGGUGUGUAAGCGCAGCGAUGCGUUGAGCUAACCGGUACUAAUGAACCGUGAGGCUUAACCUU